UUUUCCCCUCUUAAGUAUUCUGGCACCUGUGAGCUUUCAUUCCCAGCUGCCACAGCCCUCACCACUACCGCAUGAUCACUUGAGGGACAGACAGAAGGAAGAGAAGAAAGAAGCAAAGGAGGAAGGGAUUUUCACAUUCUUUCCUGAGCAUUAGGAGUUGUAUUUCUCACUUCCAGAAUAUGGAUGAGCAGGCUGGUCCUAGAGCUCUCCCUGUGACCUGGUGUCCACUUCCAGCUGUUCAGUCUACUCAGUCCAGGCUCCAAGUGUUGGGGGAGACAAGAGGGAGAGAAGACAGAGGAUGGGCAGCUCAUCCCCAACUCAGUACUGCACAUUCUGAUCUUCUCCAAGAUACUUGCUUCGGCUUACUUUUCAGAGUCCUCAAAUAUCCGCUGGGUAUACUGUGCUCCGAUUUUGUAGAUAAGCAGGAAAAAGGACACAGUUUGCCUAUUCUAUCCUUUUCAGAACCAAAUCCCCUUCCUCUGAUUCUUUAGGAUAAAUUUGUAUAACCUACAAUAUAUUUUUUUAGGUCUGAUGAUUUUCCUAUUUGUUUAUUCAAAAGGAAGUCCACUUUAAACAUUUCUUCGAUGGAAGUAAGAAAUUAGAACUAGUAACAGGACAAUUUUAUAUACAUUAUCUCAUGAGAACUUCAUAGUAUUCUCCUCCAAGGAAGGUUAGGUUGAAUAUUUUGAAGCACAACCUACAAGUUCAAUAGACUUGGAUUUGGUCGUGGGUUGUUAGCAAUAGAUUACUCUGAAGAAACAAAACAUUCAUGGUUAUUUACCCUUACCUUUUAGGUUUUUCCUUUCUUUUUAUGUUUUAAUUCCCUAAUCUUUCCUGCCUUCUCUGUUUACAUGACAUCAAAACUUAAUUUUCGUAACUGUAGAACAGCAUCUAAGAAAGCAGUGAUAAUAUUGUCUACCCUAAUUUCUUGAAUUCAUGAAUUCUAACAUUUUGAGAAAUGUUGCAGAAUACAUAUUUUAUUGAUAAGUCAUUCAGGUUUAUCCAAACUUACAGACUAUUGAACACUGAUGAGGGAAAGGUAGUCAAUUACAUUAAUAUCAGUUUCUGUCACACAAGACACAAUUCAGUGUUUCAUCAAAUGGUGAGAACUGCAUGAUAUGCCAACUAGGAUUUCUUGUGGUCCUUUGUCUUAGAGUUCUCUGAUAAUAAGGAUAAACCUCCAAAAUACUGCUAGCAAUGUAUAGCCUAAUGCCUAUAGCAUUCCAUUUUUAAAAUAAAGUAUAUAUAGAAGAAGUCAUAUGUUUUUUUAUUUUGUUUUAGCAGAGAUAUUGUAUAUAUUGUGUUUAUGUGUGUAUAUGUGUCUCAGUGUACUUUCAAACUAUCUAUCAGUAAUACCCAGAGACUUCAGUUUUCUAAAGAGAAUUAAUUUUCACAUAUUUAUAAGGGAAAUUACAUUGCAAGGUAUGUACUUCAUUAGUAUUAGUGGUAUUUCAGUAACUAUACUCAUAUUGAAUGUGUCUUUAAUACAUGCUUUGUAAAGCAUGUAUUAAAGACAAGCUUAUUUUGGACUUAUGACAUGUAUCACAUCUCUUACUGUUAUUUUAAGCAAACAUUUAAAGUUCCUCAAAUUAGGAUUAGCAGAGCAUCCAACUCUUGAUCUCAGGGUCAUGAGUUUAAGCCCCACUUUGGGUGUAGAGCCUACUUUAAAAAAAAUAGAGUAAAAAAUAAUAAAGUUACUAAAAUUAUAAACAUUUUUGAGGUAGAUAAUUAUGUUUUGACUUAGAUUAUUUUAAUUUUAUGAGAAUAUUACAUAUUUUAUAUUUUAUAGAUUAUGAUCAUCAAAUUACAUUGCAUAUGUAGUAGCACUUUUACUACUUUUAUCAGCAGGUACAUGGAAACAUGAAAACAAAUAUUUCACAAAUAGUGGCUUGAUUGUAAUUUGAUUAUUUCCAACUAAAUGUGCUCCAAUUAUAUGAUUAGCGAUUUAGUAAAGUGUAAACUUUUUUGUUAAGCAUAGUUGUUUAAACGUGCCAGUUUACUUCCAUUCCCUCAGGAUGGCUCACUAAAAUAAGUAAGGAAAUGUAGAAAGUCUACAGGAACAAGGACUAAGCAGGGAGUAAAGGGAGUAGAAAAUUCCUCAGGUGAGGAAUAUCAACAUGCCAACAAAAAUUACAAAAAUUAAAAUCAAAUGGAAGAGUGUUAACUCACUUAGCAAUGGAAUUUGGUAUGGCUGCAGGGAGAGAAGCUGCUUUCAUUUUGUGCUGUUCUGUGGAGUAUAUUCCUAGGAGUAGAAUCGUUAUGUCAGAAGAUCUAGGUUUAUCUAUAGUAAAUAUUGCCAAACAUUCCACAAAGUGGCGGCACGGAUUAAAACUUCUCCAGUAAUGUAAGAGAGCUCAUACUGCUCCGUAUCCUCACCA
rnacentral:lncRNA from 1 species